rnacentral:rRNA from 1 species
GCCUACGGGGGGCAGCAGUAAGGAAUAUUGGUCAAUGGACGCAAGUCUGAACCAGCCAUGCCGCGUGAAGGAUGAAGGUCCUCUGGAUUGUAAACUUCUUUUAUAUGGGACGAAACCCUCGAAUUCUUUCGGGAUUGACGGUACCAUAGGAAUAAGCACCGGCUAACUCCGUGCCAGCAGCCGCGGUAAUACGGAGGGUGCAAGCGUUAUCCGGAUUCACUGGGUUUAAAGGGUGCGUAGGAGGGCAGGUAAGUCAGUGGUGAAAUCCCCGAGCUUAACUUGGGAACUGCCGUUGAUACUAUCUGCCUUGAAUACCGUGGAGGUGAGCGGAAUAUGUCAUGUAGCGGUGAAAUGCUUAGAUAUGACAUAGAACACCAAUUGCGAAGGCAGCUCACUACACGAAUAUUGACUCUGAGGCACGAAAGCGUGGGGAUCAAACAGGAUUAGAUACCCCGGUAGU